UACGUAGGGUCCGAGCGUUGUUCGGAUUCACUGGGCGUAAAGGGUGCGUAGGUGGUGAGGUAAGUCGGAUGUGAAAUCUCCGAGCUCAACUCGGAAAUGGCAUUGGAAACUACCUUGCUAGAGGGUUGGAGGGGGGACUGGAAUACUUGGUGUAGCAGUGAAAUGCGUAGAUAUCAAGUGGAACACCAGUGGCGAAGGCGAGUCCCUGGACAACACCUGACACUGAGGCACGAAAGCUAGGGGAGCAAACAGG
rnacentral:rRNA from 1 species